rnacentral:rRNA from 1 species
CCAGACUCCUACGGGAGGCAGCAGUGAGGAAUAUUGGUCAAUGGGCGGAAGCCUGAACCAGCCAAGUCGCGUGAGGGAUGACGGCCCUAUGGGUUGUAAACCUCUUUUGCCGGGGAGCAAAGUGCCGCACGUGUGCGGUUUGGAGAGUACCCGUAGAACAAGCAUCGGCUAACUCCGUGCCAGCAGCCGCGGUAAUACGGAGGAUGCGAGCGUUAUCCGGAUUUAUUGGGUUUAAAGGGUGCGUAGGCGGGCUUUUAAGUCAGCGGUAAAAAUUCGGGGCUCAACCCCGUCGUGCCGUUGAAACUGACACCCUUGAGUGAGUGAGAAGUAAGCGGAAUGCGUGGUGUAGCGGUGAAAUGCAUAGAUAUCACGCAGAACGCCGAUUGCGAAGGCAGCUUACCGGCGCUCAACUGACGCUGAGGCACGAAAGUGCGGGUAUCGAACAGGAUUAGAUACCCUUGUAAA